rnacentral:tRNA from 1 species
GCGCCUCUAGCUCAGUUGGUAGAGCACCUGACUCUUAAUCAGGUUGUCCGGGGUUCGAGACCCCGGAGGCGCA